AUGGAGUUCCUUUUGGAUAAGCAUAGCUUGGAUUUAGUUGAGGAGGUGCCAUAUACCUACGAUCAGACUAUCAUCAUGCCGACAAAGGAUGGAUGCCUCGGUUUAGCUGGAGUGGAACGAUUCAAUUUCAAUCUUAAUCUGUGGUCAAAGGUGGCGAGCAUUGACGGGGUGGUGACAUGGACACAUCUAAGGGUCAUUGAACUCGAAAAAAUUCUUGCGCCUGAAGCGGUGUCAGCGUGUAUGGUUGGAGGUAUUGGAGUCCAUGCAGUUGGUUGUGCGGUAGAUGCGGAUGUGAUCUUCAUCGAUGUGUAUCCUAGCAUCUAUAUGAUCCAUCUCAAGUCCAUGAAGAUCGAGGAGGUGUCGCGAAGAAACGAAUCGGCAGACAAUAUGGUUUUCCUUACACAAGUUUCUACACUCCAGGAAUUACCAUUGGUGGUGCAAAUGAUCAAGUUGAACUGCUGA
rnacentral:rRNA from 1 species